rnacentral:misc_RNA from 1 species
GGGGAGGAAAAACCAGUCAUUUGAUUUGAAGACGAUAUCAAAUGCCAUAUCGUUUACAUCUUCGAGAACUGACCUCACUAGUAGAUGGACACAUCACUGUUGUAUUUUCUUUAAGAGAAGUUGUGUGAAUGGGUAAGUUGUAGUUGUAAUAGACAAUGACCGACAUUGUAGGUGGGUUAGAAUGUGGUUGUUUUGUAGUACAAAGCCAU